AACGAACGCUGGCGGCAUGCCUAACACAUGCAAGUCGAACGAGACCUUCGGGUCUAGUGGCGCACGGGUGCGUAACGCGUGGGAACCUGCCCUUAGGUUCGGAAUAACUCCCCGAAAGGGGUGCUAAUACCAGAUAAUGUCUUCGGACCAAAGAUUUAUCGCCUUUGGAUGGGCCCGCGUUGGAUUAGCUAGUUGGUAGGGUAAAAGCCUACCAAGGCGACGAUCCAUAGCUGGUCUGAGAGGAUGAUCAGCCACACUGGGACUGAGACAUGGCCCAGACUCCUACGGGAGGCAGCAGUGGGGAAUAUUGGACAAUGGGCGAAAGCCUGAUCCAGCAAUGCCGCGUGAGUGAUGAAGGCCUUAGGGUUGUAAAGCUCUUUUACCCGGGAUGAUAAUGACAGUACCGGGAGAAUAAGCUCCGGCUAACUCCGUG
rnacentral:rRNA from 1 species